rnacentral:misc_RNA from 1 species
UCCGGUUUAUCACCGGCAGUCCCAUUAGAGUGCCCAACUGAAUGAUGGCAACUAAUGGCAAGGGUUGCGCUCGUUGCGGGACUUAACCCAACAUCUCACGACACGAGCUGACGACAGCCAUGCAGCACCUGUCACCGGUCCAGCCGAACUGAAGGGGUCGAUCUCUCGUCCCCGCGACCGGGAUGUCAAGGGCUGGUAAGGUGGGGAUGACGUGUCGCAACUAACCA